UUGAACGCUGGCGGCAUGCUUUACACAUGCAAGUCGAACGGCAGCGGGGGCUUCGGCCUGCCGGCGAGUGGCGAACGGGUGAGUAAUGCAUCGGAACGUACCCAGUCGUGGGGGAUAACUCCGCGCAAGCGUAGCUAAUACCGCAUACGCCCUGCGGGGGAAAGCGGGGGACCUUCGGGCCUCGCGCGAUUGGCGCGGCUGAUGUCGGAUUAGCUAGUUGGUGGGGUAAAGGCCUACCAAGGCGACGAUCCGUAGCUGGUCUGAGAGGAUGAGCAGCCACACUGGGACUGAGACACGGACCAGACUCCUAAGGGAGGCAGCAGUGGGGAAUUUUGGACAAUGGGCGCAAGCCUGAUCCAGCCAGGCCGCGUGAGUGAAGAAGGCCUUCGGGUUGUAAAGCUCGUUCAGACGGAAAGAAAUCGGGCGCGUGAAUAGCGUGCCUGGAUGACGGUACUGUCAGAAGAAGCACCGGCUAACUACGU
rnacentral:rRNA from 1 species